UUCCUGAGUAUCAGCUACUUCGGGCUUUGCAGCAUUCUGAGGUUGUUCAUUUUCCAUCUUUCCUUGAUUCUCAGGCAUUCCUUCAUUUACACUGCAGAGUUUUUCCAUGUUGAGAUGUCCCCUCCUUUUCCUGUCCUGGGGGAAUCCUGGACAGGUUCCUUCCUUUUAUAGCGUAGCGAGUGCUGAGAACAACAGAUACGCAGACCUG